UACCAACAACCACCACCACCUGGG
rnacentral:siRNA from 1 species